GAUCAAACGACAACUAACCAACAAUGUUCCAGAUUCGGACUCCAUUGGCAACCUUAAUCAAUUUCACAUCUAUAAAGUCACAAAAUACCGUUUAAUUAUUUAUUAAGCUUUAAUACCGUGACAGGACGUAGGGUGAGAGAUCCUUACUUGUUUCGGGGUCUAAAAUCGACUCUACAGUGUGCCUACGGGCUGUCCUUAAUUUCUCUAAAUUUUUUUCGGAAAACUGAAACGCACUACCGGUACCUGCACGUGUCCCAAAAAAUUCCAAUUCAGACCUAGGGCCCUUUUCGGCCAAUAUCAGAAUUCCAGCACGGCGGCUCCGCCGUGCUCCGGCGACGGUGCCGCCGCCUGCGUCGGCGAUCUGUCUCGGGUUGGCUGUUUUCGGUCAUUUUUGACAGAAUUUGGCCAAACUUGCAUUGGUCCCUGUGAUAAA
rnacentral:lncRNA from 1 species